rnacentral:rRNA from 1 species
AAAACGACUCUCGGCAACGGAUAUCUCGGCUCUCGCAUCGAUGAAGAACGUAGCGAAAUGCGAUACUUGGUGUGAAUUGCAGAAUCCCGUGAACCAUCGAGUCUUUGAACGCAAGUUGCGCCCGAAGCCAUCCGGCCAAGGGCACGUCUGCCUGGGCGUCACGC